GCGAAGGUGGCGGAAUUGGUAGACGCGCUAGCUUCAGGUGUUAGUGUCCUUACGGACGUGGGGGUUCAAGUCCCCCCCCUUGCACCA
rnacentral:tRNA from 9 species